ensembl:snoRNA
UGCAAAUGAUGCUUUCUCACGAUGGUCUUCCUAGCUCAAGAAGCUCUGACGACGUUGCCAUUGGCAAACACUGAUGCAGUUUG